ensembl:snRNA U6 U6 spliceosomal RNA
GAGCUCGCUUCAUUAGCACAUAUGCUAAAAUUGGAACGAUACAGAGAAGAUUAGUAUGGCCCUUCGCAUGGAUGACACGCAAAUUUGUGAAGCGUUUCAUUAAAAA